CCCGCUGCCCGCCCCGCCACCGGGGCUUGUGCGGACGUGUCUCGGGCGUGACCUUUGAGCAGCUGCGCCACCGGCUCAGCCUCGCGGCGGGGGAAACCCGAGCUCCCAACAAAACAGCUCCAUCUUUGGCUAGGCCUGUGGUAUUUCCAGGCGCUGCCGGUGGGGAGAGAGGCCGCGUGCCUGAGAGGCUCUCGGAGGUCGCCGCGGCUUUCGCUUCCCGGGUUUUACAUUUCCGAAGGGGCUGAGCGUCUGCAGAGGAACCCGAGCUGAUGCUGGGGCUGGGGCCGGGGCGGGAAUCUAAGGAAUGCACCUCUGGGGAGGCUGGAGGGAGCGUGGCUCAUCCUCCUCCCGGGAUGGGUCCUUCAGCGCGCUUUCCUUCUUUUUUCCUUUUUGCAGAUGUUAUGUGGUCAACAGGGACUGAGACUCUUUAAGCCCUUACAUCUCUAAGGGCUAAAUCUUCUUCCUGAUGUUCCUCCCUCCUCCAAAGCGGUAACAGUUUUCACGUGAUUCAGUUGCCUCUACCUGCCUGAAGGACUGGAGUGCAAAGUUGAACUUGACUCCAGCAAGUGAAUUGAUCCUUCCCCGGGGAAAAAAGUUUAGACAUCACUAAUAGUAGUUAACUUUUGAGUGCUUCCUCUGUGCUAAGCACGGUUCUAAUCACUUAAAUGUAAUAACUCAUUUAAUUAUCACAAUUGUAUGACAUAGGAAUUAUUAUUUCUGCUUUACAGGCACCAAAGAAGGCCAGGAGAGGUUUAAUAACUUCUUCAGAAUCACACAGCUUGCACAUGGUUGGGCUGGGUUUACAUUUAGGCGGUCUUACUCCAGAGUCAGUGCUCCUAACCAUUGCAAGCAACAAAUCUCAACAAAGUGGAGAAGAAAACGCUGGGAAAUUUGGAAGUCAGACAUGGCAGAGAGCUAAUGCUGGCAGCUAUUGGGAUGUCCUCUUCCAGGACUGGUGAUGAGUUUCCUGGUAUCCAGCCUUGGCCGGACUGAGGUAGGGAACCAGGGAGGCAUUGACGGAGACCAUGGACAGGAGCCCUGGCAGUGGGCCAGCUCCAAAGAAGCUGUCAUUUUCCUUGCUCCUUUUGUGGAGUCUGUCUGGGAGCAGAGGCUGAAUGUGGCCACAGCCUCCUGAGCUUCCUUGAGGAGCUAGGCAAAAUGCCCAGACCAACAGGAGCUGCUUCCUGCCUUACAGGCUCCAAGCAUAGGCAAGGAGUAAGAUCAGGACUUCUUGUAGGAGCCUUGGCCUGGGUGACCAGACAGUGGCUUGUGAUGCAGAGAGAGAUAAUAGUCAAGUGGGGGGAGCUUGGAAACAAAAAGACACCAAAGGCCAUCUGGAGUGGAUAGUGGGAGUGAAUUGGAGGUGAGUCAGCCAGCUCACAGGGCAGUUAAAAAGACAAGUGGGUAAUUGUGGGUGCAGUCCGCCGGUCAUACACCGAAAAUGAGGAACAAGUGGUUAAUUGGGCCCACAAGCCCAGGAUCCCGCCUAUAAUUAGCAAAUUGCAGGGCUUUGAUAUUUGCUUUGGUAACAACUUGUGUAGUAAAUUGCAGGGAGGAAAACUGUACCCCCAGCCUGGGGAGUGACUCUGUGUCACUAUUCUCUCACAAACACUUGUAGGCAGCGCACACAUGAAUAUACUCCCAGCAUUGGCAGUGGGACUUGCACCUUUCUGCAGGCUGACAGCCUCCUGUGAUGCUUUCUGUUUCCAUUUACCCCUUGCUUAAGUUUUUGCCAAUCAGGGCUGAAGCUGAGGGCUGGUUUCCUGGUGCAUGCUCCCAUUGUUCACACACUGAUUUUCAUGUUCCCUUAAGCUGCAGCCCUUGGGGAGGAGAGACCUUCUGACCAGAGAUGUGACCAGGAGUGGCCACGUGGUAAUGGCCAUGGGUAAUUCCCAUGAAAGUUCUAUAGUGGGGGAAGGGGAAGAGACACAAUUGAGUUCUGUUUCAGCAUUGUUGAAAUUUUGUCUAUGAGGAUGGUCAGUGCUUAUUCCUGAUCAGAGACUGGCCUUUGUGGUUUCAUAUCUGUGGCUACCUCUGCAGGCUUCUCAGCCAUUGUAACCAAAUUGCAGACCAGAAGCAUAGGAAAAUUGCACUGGGAUUGUCAUAGUAAAACCCUAUAAAUGUCCACACAUACAGAGAGACUGGUGAGCACAGGCAAUGAAAAGAGCACUAAAUGAAAGUGCCGGGAGACCUGGGUUUGAAUUUGCACUCCCUACUGAUGGGUCUUGUCAAGUCACUUAAAUACUCGUACAUCAUCUCUGUCAUUUAUAGGUCUGUUUCUAUUGACUGAUUUUUCUCUUGAUUAUGGGUCACCAUUUUUCUGCUUCUUUAUAUGUCUAGUAAUUUUUUGUUAGAUGGCAGACAUUGUAAUAUUCUAUCAUUAAGUAUUUGGACUUUGUUGUCUUCUUUUUUUAAAAAAAAUCUUGGUUUUGGCUUUGUUUGGGCUUUAUUUCAGCAGACAGUUAAGUUACACAUGGAUCAGUUUGACAUCUUUGAAUCCUGGCUUUACAUUUUGCUAUGGAGAGUCUAGAGUAACCUUCACUCCAGGAAUAAGUCAGCCUUUUUACUCAAGUGUGAUUUAUCUGGGCUCUUCACUGAAUGUCCCAAGGGAUCACCAAGGACUCUCCACUUUGGCUGGCUGAUGCACAGUGAUGGCCUUACAUUUUGAGAGCUUUAGAUUGUUCAGCUUACAAUUCUUCUGUCAUUUAUCUUCCCUGGUCAUGUAGAGUUUCACUUUACACACAUAUAGUUGAAUACUCAGCAAAGACUCAGGAAAAUAUCUCAGUAGACUUAUGGUGUUAUUUUUCUGUGUGUCUCCCUCCUUUCAAAAAUUGUGACCCUCAACUCCUAGCUGCCUCAGGUCUGUAGACAGAUCUCUGUCUCCUCAACUUAGUGAAGCUACUGGACUGUACUCGUGGACUGGAAAUUGCCUCCAAGCAUAAAGCUAGGGUUAUUUCAGGUCUCACCUCAUUGAUGCAUUCUCUCACAGAUUACAGUUUUGCAAUUUCCCAGUGUCUGAGAAGAGUAGUAAUUCUAUCAAGACUGGAAGUUGAAGUCUUCUCAAGUUAAUAAAAUUUGUUUUCCCAAAUGUAGAGGCAGAAUGUAAUAGUAUUUUCCUCAAAAGUUAGUCAUGAUAACUCAACUAUGUAAUGGUUCUGAAAACACCUAUAAUGAUGCAUGAAAGAAGCAAUGGAGCAUAAAAUUAGAAUAGUUAAUAAAUUAUAAUAUUUUUCUUUUCCUUUGACACCAAUAGUAUAAAUGGAUUUAUCAUUUUCACAAAAUUGUAGAAUUUUAGGACUGUAAGGGACUUAUCUCAGGAAGAUAAAAUUGGAUUGCUCCAAAUACCUCAUUUUACAGAUGAGUAGACUGAAGCUUAGUGAGGGAAUUUUCCCAAGCCCCCAUGGCCUAUUAGUAGAAGAAUGAGACUGGAACUCAGGUGUCUUGGCUCCCAGCCUAUGGGGCAUCCAUUCAUUCAGCUCACCUUUACUGAGUAUCUACUAAGUUCAGAACAUUGAACUAAUUGCUAUAUUGCCUCUCUAUAAUAUCUUAGUUUGCAAAAAUGUUAAAAAAUCAAUUUUGGAACAUUAUGGUAAGUUCAAUAAAUCAGCAUAUAAUUUUGGACUUCUCUGGAGUGAGUAAGUCUGAUUGACAUUAAUUGGAGCAGCCUCCAUUGUCCAGUGCAAAAAUGCAAAGUGCUUCCAGCAUUCAGAUCUCUUGGGAUAUUCUAUUAUAGUGCUUCAGACAUAUGAACAUGUCAGGUAAUUACUGUGGUUUUAUGGCCCUGUCAGUUAUGGUUGUAGGGAAGCUAAGGAUUUACUCUGCAUGCAGCCCUUCCAGCCACUCAAUGCAAAAAUGGAUGAUAAAACUUUAAGAGGAGUGUGCAGCAUGUUGCAAGAUGUGAACAGAACACCAUAUAAGAUGUCAGGAGGCCUGGAUUCUAGACUUGGUUUGUUACUUCCAUUUUCUGCGCCUAGGUUUUUCUAACUGUAAGAUGAGAACAAUAGCCUAUGAUCUACAAUGCCCAUUCCAACUCAGAGAAUCUUUGCAUCUGGAGAUCUACAGCAGGGCUAUCCCUAGUGAUAUGCAUGAAGAAGCUUGGAAAUGGGGCUGGGUAGGAGCUGAGUAUGUAGAAUGUGGAAAGGCAUUCUAAACCAAAAGAAGAACACAAGUAAAGAUGAUGAAGCAGGGAUAUGGCUAAAAUGAAAUUUGUGAUCUGAUCCACAUACAAGUACAGUGUACUACAGCUGGACUAUAGAGAAGAACUUGAGAACCCAUGAGCAACUAUCCCUGUACUCUUGGAGGCUCUGCAACCACAGUUUGAGAAACUCUGCAUUAAAAGUUAAAAACCGUCACCUGAAUAGUUAAUAACAUCAAAGAUUGUGAAAGCAAGUAUAAGUAACACAGAGAUUAAAAUAAUGAGGCAGGAUCACAAA